UAGGGAAUCUUCCACAAUGGGUGCAAGCCUGAUGGGGCAACGCCGCGUGAGUGAAGAAGGUUUUCGGAUCGUAAAGCUCUGUUGUAAGAGAAGAACGUGUGUGAGAGUGGAAAGUUCACACAGUGACGGUAACUUACCAGAAAGGGACGGCUAACUACGUGCCAG
rnacentral:rRNA from 1 species